UACGGAGGGUGCAAGCGUUGCUCGGAAUUAUUGGGCGUAAAGGGUAGGUAGGUGGUCUCAUUUGUCUGAGGUGAAAGCCUUGAGCUUAACUCAAGAAGUGCCUCGGAAACGGUGAGACUGGAGUCCUGGAGAGGGUCGUGGAAUUCCCGGUGUAGCGGUGAAAUGCGUAGAUAUCUGGAGGAACACCGGUGGCGAAGGCGGCAUCCUGGACCGACACUGACGCUGAGGAGCGAAAGCCAGGGGAGCAAACGGG
rnacentral:rRNA from 1 species